AUCUUACCUGGUUGGGGAGCAGCCUUAGAGCCUGCUGCACAGAUACUGAGGAGGAGGCAGGGGCUGUGUCUUCUCCUAGGGAGCAGAACCUGUUGUUCUCUCUCCUGCAUAGCUGUGGCCAACACGAUAGCUUUGUCAGCUCUCAUAUGCUGCAGUUCACAAUCCCCUCUGCUUCACCAGAGCAGUUUUUCAAAGGUUCAUAGUGUAAAACACAUCACUCAAAAGAUGCAUAUUCACCUCUUUGAAGAGUUUUGUUUUUCACAUGGCCCUAUUAGCAAUACACUUCCCCAUAUGACAGCAGGCUGAGCAGAGCUUACCAUACGAGUGAUGCUAUCUAAGCACAUCCAAACCCACGAUUGCUUCUGAGCAGAGAUGGAGAAAUGGACAUCAACAAAAGCAAUUCUGGUUUGCCAGGAAGACCCGGUGUGUGAUUUUUACCACAUACCACACAGCAGGCAGGAGAAAACAAACUCCAGAUUAGCUGAAUUCCUUCUGCGACCGAACCUGUGUUUUUGAAAGAGCCUGCUUCAGUACACAAGUGUUUGUGGGAGAUUAGUCCCUAUUAACUAAUAACCUUUGAUUAUGUUUAUUCCCACAGCUUGUUUGCUCAGGUGUUUGUCACACUGAAGCAGAAAUAUGCUUUGGUGACACAGCUUGUUCAUGGCUCAGCCUGCAUUUUUGUGAUUUCUUGGCACCUGAAUGAUGGAUUACUAUUUUCUGAGCGAAUCCCUUCUCUGAAAGGCCUUCCAUGCAAGGAAGGGCUCUGGGUAAUUAGAAAACAAUAACCUUGGCAUACCCUCCUGAUUUGUUUUUAAUGAAAUUAGGUGUGCAGAGGGUAGAUGCUUCGUCCAGAGUCAAAUAGUGAAUAAGUGGCAGAACUGACAUUCCUUGUUCCUGCUCCAUGCCUCCAACAAGCAGUCCAGUCGGCUUCCCCUGCCUUUCCAGGCUGUUGGGUGGUUAAAAGGCUAUCUGUCUGCUUGCUUUUUCAUACAGAAUUAUAACAAAAAAAAGCCAACGUCAUGUAUGGGGAAGCCUUGCACUGACACAGACUGGAUCAGAUUAAUUAACAGAAUGCACACUGCGUCCUCAGCCAGUGCUCAGCAGCUCAGUUGUAGUAAACUGAGCGCAUCGCAGCCAUGUAUGGAUGUUACCUUUAGAACAACCCUGUGAAGCAUCAUCUCCAUAGGGAUAAGGAAAUAUAAACAGAGUGAAUGAAGUUAUUUGUCCAAAUCCACAGAGGCAAUCUAGGACAGAGCUUUGGUCUCCUCUCUGUUAGACUGCACUGCACAUCUCUGCCUGGGUGCUGAAAAAAAAGGGAGCUCCUGGACAAAUGAGUGAGGAGCUUCCAGGACCUCAGCCUUGAAUUUGGAAGAUUCACAUUUCUAAAGCUGUUGUCACUCUGGCAGCAAUCCUUUGGAAAGGUAACAUUACCUCUUGACAACUCGACGUGGGUGCAGUGCCUCUGCAAAACUGUGCUGUCCAUGUAAGUGUGCACCAGGAUAUGUGAAGGAAGGCAGGUAAUGUGGUAACAGAAAUGCUGCACCAGCACACCUAUGUCUCUAGAGAAAGGGCUUUUCUGGAGAAGAUGGCACUAGAUGCCCUUGUAAAAGGACAAGAAGUUCUGUGCAAUGAGAUGCACAGCCAUUGCAUUGCCUUGGCCUUAGCUGCAGGGGUUUGCCUUUAAAAAGGGGCUGAGGGGAAUUCUGAACCUCUUGAAAGACAGCGCUAGGUCUUCAUUCCCACUCUUCAUUUCUAAACCCCUACACCUCUUAUUUUUUUAUUUCCUGGGCUAUAACUAUAAGCUGCCCGAAUUGCUGGUUUUCAAUCUGCUUCCCACUGGUCCCGUCGCAAAAUCUGAUAGACUAAAUACCCUUUUCUCUGUAGAGCUGGUGCUGGGUUGAAAGUGGUGAAGGCUGAAGUCCUGCCUCGGUGUUUUGAGGUGGUGUUCCUCAGGUGACAGCGCUGCAAGCUUUCCAAACCAUAUUGCCACGGGAGUCACAUUUGGGAUCUGCUCCUUGUGGCAUUUUUGUGGUGACACUCUCCAGCCAGUUCAUCAUCUGAAGGGAGAGAAACUGGACUCUCUUGUCUAAGAGCAGAAGGCUUUGCUGGAACUGAAGACCAGAUAAUGUACUGACAGGCUCACGUCCCUGUACAGGACCUGACUUUGCUGUCUUUCACAGAACAUUUAAGGAACAGGAAAGGAUGCAGAGAUCAGGAAGCAGCAGAGCUGAUGUCAAGAACAAGCUCAAGAGGCAUGGAUUGAUUUCCUUCAGUUUAAGUCCUCGGCCCUACAGCAGGAUCUGUUAUCACUGUGAUACAGGGUGGAUAUGUGUCCAUGCACUCAGGUACGUUGCCAAUUCUACUAUCAUGAUUCAGACCCUGUUGUUACUGAGGAGGUGGAGAGGGAAUCUCCCCCAGUGUAGGUGGAAGGGCGGCAGCUGGACGUGGUGCAGACACAGCCCUGGUGAUGGCUGAGACCAGAGGUCAGGAUUGCACAGCCUGUGCCUGGCUCUGCACGUUGCGUGACAAAUGGAAAUUGCUUGUCUCUACCUGACUGCAUGUGUUUCCACUUGAUGGGUUUUGUAUUUACGUGUCUACAUUGGAGGAAUGUGCAAGUAUGGAAGCGCAGAAAUUUUCAGGACCUGUAAGCAACCUGGCUUCUUUGAUUUCUUCUUUUAAAAAUAGUUCUGUGAUUCUUUUCUAACAG